rnacentral:rRNA from 1 species
UAUGGAAGGCAGCAGUGGGGAAUAUUGCACAAUGGGCGCAAGCCUGAUGCAGCCAUGCCGCGUGUAUGAAGAAGGCCUUCGGGUUGUAAAGUACUUUCAGUCGUGAGGAAGGUGUUAAGGUUAAUAACCUUAGCAAUUGACGUUAGCGACAGAAGAAGCACCGGCUAACUCCGUGCCAGCAGCCGCGGUAAUACGGAGGGUGCGAGCGUUAAUCGGAAUUACUGGGCGUAAAGGGCACGCAGGCGGUUAAUUAAGUUGGAUGUGAAUCCCCGGGCUUAACCUGGGAAUGGCAUUCAAGACUGGUUAGCUAGAGUCUUGUAGAGGGGGUAGAAUUCCAUGUGUAGCGGUGAAAUGCGUAGAGAUGUGGAGGAAUACCGGUGGCGAAGGCGGCCCCUGGGACAAAGACUGACGCUCAUGUGCGAAAGCGUGGGGAGCAAACAGGGAUUAGGAUACC